GUAAGAGCCCCUUUGUCCCACUGGCUUCACUCCAAACACUGAGAAGACUGCAACCUGGCAACAUUUUUAUUGGAGCACAUGAAGGAUGAAUGAUCAGUGACAGGUGAGGCUCUCUCCUCACCUGUCCCAUCUCAAGACUCCAAAAAGACUGAAGGAGAGCUGUGCCCUCCCCUGCCUGCACCAGCCCCAGUGAGGAAGACGAGAUUUGGGAAGGUCACGCUGAGAUCUGCUCUCUCUCUCUGGCCUGCUUGGGCACGGGACCGGGUAGCCGCACCCUCCCCUGCCUGUGCCACCACAAGCUCUAGCAAGGAAGGUAGCUGCAGAGGUGCCCCUGAAACACCCCACCCCCC
rnacentral:lncRNA from 1 species